AAGACUAUGCUUUCAGGGAUCAUUUCUGCAGCUCAUUACUAGAGAAGUUUCUCUGAACGUGUGGAGCACUAGAAACCAUGAGGAGGAGAUGUAGUUUUCACCCCUGAGAGUGAAGUCGGUUCUUGGUGUUUCUUCCUUGCAAUUGCCACUUAAUUAGAUGGUUGACUUAAUUGACCAAUAAAUGGC
ensembl:snoRNA U3 Small nucleolar RNA U3